UGGGGGAUUUUGCACAAUGGGCGCAAGCCUGAUGCAGCGACGCCGCGUGAGGGAUGAAGGCCUUCGGGUUGUAAACCUCUUUCGCUGGGUUGAAAGGCCAUGCUUUGGGUGUGGUUGAUUUGAACUGGUAAAGAAGUACCGGCUAACUACGUGCCAGCAGCCGCGGUAAUACGUAGGGUACUAGCGUUGUCCGGAUUUAUUGGGCGUAAAGGGCUUGUAGGUGGUUUGUCGCGUCUGUCGUGAAAUCCUGUGGCUUAACCAUGGGCUUGCGGUGGGUACGGGCAGGCUUGAGUGCGGUAGGGGAGACUGGAAUUCCUGGUGUAGCGGUGGAAUGCGCAGAUAUCAGGAGGAACACCGGUGGCGAGGGCGGGUCUCUGGGCCGUUACUGACACUGAGGAGCGAAAGCGUGGGGAGCGAACAGG
rnacentral:rRNA from 1 species